GCACUACUGAAGUGUCCCACAAUAGGACGAGAUGGCCGUCCAGUGC
rnacentral:hammerhead_ribozyme from 1 species